GUGGGUGGGUUAGGGGUGGGAGCGGGAGGGGGGUUGACCAUGCCCUGGGACCCCGGGCAUUUGUAGUUGGGUUGGUCAAUGUUGCGGAGACGUUUGGAAAUAUUUGGACAAACUUUACUUACCCUCAGGAUUGUUGGACUAUAGAGCAGAGCCACUGACGCUGACGAAAACAGAAAAGGAUAGAAAACAAGCUAAUAUUCAGGGGAUCCACUGUAUAAUAAAGACCACCACAGGGAAUAGAAGAUGGGGUCUUGGUGAAUUUUUUUUUGUUUGUUUGUUUGUUUUUCCAAAAAAAAGGAAUUUCACUCAUUUUCAGUCCUUUUACUUUCUGGCCUGUAUCUCAUACCCGUAUCUCUCUCCAUCGAAUCCAUCCACACACACACACACACACACCUGCGAGUGUCCACCAUCUGUAACAACUCUAACUUAUUCUUUUUCUGUUUUUGUUUUUUUUUUCCACCUCCCAUACCUCAGAUCACUCCUAAACAUUCAGAACACAUCACCUCAACAAACCUCAACACAUAAAUGUACAUUGCCUUGCGUACACUCAGGCCAAAGAUUACAGUUUAGUUUUUUUUUGUGAUACUGUUGUCAUGUUUGAUUUUAUUUUUUAUUUUUUGGAAGGUUUUCAGCCGUCGUUUAGAACCACAGGAGGAUCAGAGCGUGUGAUCCGUUUUAUACACUUUCUCUAAAUAUGAGCCUGCAGACAUAUCAUAACGCUUAAAGCACACAUACACACAGAACAUGCAUACAGACAUGGAUAGACAGAAUUGUGAGAAUCGUGUUGUGUUUUCAUUGCAUGGACAAGUGUAAGUAUGGACAGCUGUAUCCCUUUUUCGCUUCUGCAUACCUCAUUCCAUAGUAUACCGUACAACACACACACACACACACACACACACACAGACACACACACACACACAGACUUCGCACAGUUUUGUUGGAAGUGAAGGGAAAAAAGGAUGUCGGAGAGGAGAUGAUUCUUCUUAAUGUGAUGUACAGCAGAGUGCUGAGUGCAUGUGAAAGCCAAUCCCACUGUGUCCUUCAAGUCCCAAUAAACUCUGUGCUAUAGUUUGAGUACUC